UGAGGAAUAUUGGUCAAUGGACGAGAGUCUGAACCAGCCAAGUAGCGUGCAGGAUGACGGCCCUAUGGGUUGUAAACUGCUUUUGUUUGGGAAUAAUCGACAUUACGUGUAAUGUUUUGCAUGUACCAUUCGAAUAAGGACCGGCUAAUUCCGUGCCAGCAGCCGCGGUAAUACGUAGGUGGCGAGCGUUAUCCGGAUUUACUGGGCGUAAAGGGCGUGUAGGCGGCUAGAUAAGUGUGAUGUUUAAAUCCAAGGCUUAACCUUGGGGUUCAUUACAAACUGUUUAGCUUGAGUGCUGGAGAGGAUAGUGGAAUUCCUAGUGUAGCGGUAAAAUGCGUAGAUAUUAGGAGGAACACCGGUGGCGAAGGCGGCUAUCUGGACAGUAACUGACGCUGAGGCGCGAAAGCGUGGGGAGCAAACAGG
rnacentral:rRNA from 1 species